UCUCCCCUUCUCUCUCUCUCUCUUCCUUUUCUUCUUUUCAUCUCUCUUUCGUAGAGACGUUUCUAAAGUUCUCGUCGGGAAGAUUUCUUUAUCUCGCCUCAGAAUUUUGGAACUUGAAAGCGUAUCUUGGAGAUAAUCGAGAAUUUUCGAGCUAACUUUGAACUGCACCUCGAAGAUGAUAUAAUGUUUUUGGACAAAAUGGGAUAUUUAGAAUGGUAUUCGAAGAAAGUGUCGUAAAGAAUUCCACAAGUAUAUAUAUAUAUAUACGUAUCACGUUCAUAAUUAUCAGAGAAUGUGAAAUCUAUUCGAAUAUUCGAAUAUAGACUGAAGGAUUUUGCAACGAAUUUUUCCCCUUCGAUCCAACCGUCUAUUGCUUACUAAUUUAUCUCGAUCGCAUAUGAGAAGAUAGAAAGAAUGGAAAUUCGACGAUAUCUACGAUAACCGGACUCCUCUAGAUUGGUUCCAAAUAAAACAAAAUCCAAUGGCAAUUAUAUUCACAAAAUAUUCCGUUGAGCCGGCCGCGAUACCAUCUCGCCUCUCUUUCUUCGUUCUUUCGAUACAAUCAACGAAAAUGGAUCUGGAUCGAGUCUCAUUGUGGCAGCGAACGAUACUACAUCGCGUAGCCGAAAGAUCUUCAAGGGACCCGUAUAUAGCAGAACUCGAGCGAGUUAGACGCAACGGAGAGAAAGAGAGAGAGAGAUAAGGAAAAAAAGAUGACAGAAAUGAAGGAAGGAAGAGAGAUCGCUAGUAAGAGAGAUAGAAACGGAAAAACGAAGAUAGAGAGAGAGAGACGGGGAGAGAAACAAGAGGAGAGAAGAUGGGUAGAACUCGGUUCUCGUCUAGCUGGAAGAUCUAAUCUCUCGUUCCCGCGCUGCGUGCCUAAUUAAAGAUCGAUAUCUCUCGAUAUUAUUGCACCCCCUCCUUGUACCACCUUCCAACCACCACCCCAUCGGCCCGCCAUACUCCCCCUCCGCCACGUAGCAGGUUAUUAAAUUCUCCUAUCUCGAGGAUCUGGACUGGCCGGUCCUACCCGCCCCGUAUCUGAUCCGGUCAAUCUUUAGUCUCGUUACCUUUCGGCCCUCCGUUCGGCCACGAUCGAGUCGAUUCGACUCUUUACAAAUUUCCAAAGUGGACCCAGACCCCCGAAUCUUCGCGGGCCCAUGAGAAACAAUCGUGAAGGGAAGCUUCUCGCCCGGUGAGGAGAACUUUCGAUUCGAUGGAUUUAGCAUUCGAUGGAUGGCCACAGAGAGAAAGACACUGCUCUACGAUAAUUCCUCUUUCCUUUCGGCGAUGAGCAAAAUCGAAUCAAUAAUAUUUGGCAUGAUAUAUAUAUUUUCUGAAAAUUUUGCAAUUUUGGACUCGAUGGAUCGUUGCAAUUGUCGAAAGGAUAUUGUUCUACGAAAAUUUUUCUUUCCUUUCGAUGAAAGUGGAACGGAAUGAUAUUGUUCGGAAGAAUAUUGUUCUACCGAUAAUUCCUCCUUUCUUUCGAAAAUGGAAUAGUGCAGCUUUUUGAAAUUGAAUUAAUUUGGAAUGAUAUAUAUAUAUAUAUUCCGAAAAUAUUGUAAUUUAAAAGAAGAAUAAAUCUACAACGAACGUGAGUCAUCAACUGGUAGCUGUCUAUCGGACGCGAGGAAGCGAUUCCAACUUAAUCCUUGCUGAUGAAGAAACUACAGAUGCGGCGAAUCAAUCGAGGGACACUGUGAACGCGGCUUAAAACAUUGAGACGUGACCAAUGCUCGUUGCCACGAAGGCAAUGCCACAUCGGGCAAUUAUCGCUCGGCAGGACCUCGACGUGCAUACAUUAAGGCCGACUAGCUUCCUCUCUUUCUCGCACCUCCGCGUCUCGAUCCUCCGCCCGCGACAGAGAGGCGAACCACGACGACGACGACGACGACAACCACGACGACGACGACAACGACGACGACGACGACGACGACGACGGUGAACCGACACAACGAGAUUUCGUAUCUGACCAGGACACUUCUCGCCUACCUUCUGGACGACGUUUUAAGAUCGAUAUCGAACCGCUCUGGAACUCGACCGAAUGAAUAAUUAUCAAUGGACCCGGCAUAUCUCGCCACCCAAACCCUCCGCGCUCCUAUUUUUUCGAUUUUCCUCGACGAAUCACGACCGCCUCGUGACGCGCUCAUCUAGCCGUUAAAGAAACGAGUUUUGGAAUUUUUAAUACGGGGGGAUUAAAAGGAUGGAGCGUCGUUUUGACAUAGUUUUUUUUUUUCUUUAAUAGAAAUUGGGAUUACGCAACGACGAGGCUAAUUUUUGUUCCGUGAAAUUGAAUACAAAUUUAUCGAAUUUUCAAAACGGUUACGAUCCAUUAUUAUUUCCCGAUUUAUUAGAAAAAAAAAGAAGGUUCGUCGAAUGAAAUUAUCUCAACGGCCCGACGAAAGAUCGACGAUGAUCUGUGCUUCGAAGGUGUUAAGGAUGGAAUGAUGAAAAAUUUCCACGGAGCAGAUCGUCGUCGUAAAGCCGACCGGUAUGAGGUAUCGAAAACUCGAACGGGGUUAUUUACGAUCGUAUCCACGAGCAAUCCCUCGCGUAGCGAACUCUCACGUACUUAUACGUGCCUGGAUUUAACCUCGCCGUUAUAUAUCAGUAUAACCAGACUGCACGUUUAAUAGCCGCUAAAACGUCCUAAGAACCUUGUAUACAAACCAUAAACACAGUUUGCGGAGAACAAAAGGAGAGAGAGAGAGAGAGAGAGAGAGAGAGAGAGAGAGCAGGGUCCUCGAUACUCGUAAAAGUAUCGACGACGACGAACGCGGAGAUGUAUCGAGAGGGUUCUUAAAAUAAUUUUAUACUACUUUAUAUUACUCCAAUGUUACUUUAUUCUCUACUAACGAUUUCUAAUAAAAGCUUCGAAAGGAAACAAAA